rnacentral:rRNA from 1 species
CCUACGGGAGGCAGCAGUGAGGAAUAUUGGUCAAUGGGCGCGAGCCUGAACCAGCGAAGUAGCGUGAAGGAUGACUGCCCUACGGGUUGUAAACUUCUUUUAUAAGGGAAUAAAACGAGGCACGUGUGCCUGUUUGCAUGUACUUUAUGAAUAAGGAUCGGCUAACUCCGUGCCAGCAGCCGAGGUAAUACGGAGGAUCCGAGCGUUAUCCGGAUUUAUUGGGUUUAAAGGUGGCGUAGAUGGGUUGUUAAGUCGGUUGUGAAAGUUUGCGGCUCAACCGUAAAAGUGCAAUUGAUACUGGCAGUCUUGAGUACAGGUGAGGUAGGCGGAAUUCGUGGUGUAGCGGUGAAAUGCUUAGAUAUCACGAAGAACCCCGAUUGCGAAGGCAGCUUACUAAACUGUGACUGACAUUGAUGCUCGAAAGUGUGGGUAUCAAACAGGAUUAGAUACCCCAGUAGUC